ACACAGGGAAGGAGGUGGUCCGCGAAAUUGAUAGCUUCAUGGACAUGUGAGGUGGCUACGCGCUAGCUGCAUGGCUCGGAAGAGCUAGCGAUUUACGCGCGCUGGCGAAUUCCCCGUAGCCACCCGGCCCCCGAGCAUCCCGGUCUGUCCAACCAGGAGCAUUGCUCGGGGGCCGCUCCAU
rnacentral:sRNA from 1 species